ensembl:snoRNA
GUUUUAUUAAACUUGUGCUUGUCAACUGAUCCCGGAAUCCCCUGUGGCCUGGGUUGGCCUUCUGUCAGCUGGUUGUUACUGGCCCUCAGGGCUCUGGUUGCAUGAUCUGACUGUUGCCCUGAAAAC